UACGGAGGGUGCAAGCGUUAUCCGGAUUCACUGGGUUUAAAGGGUGCGUAGGUGGGCAGGUAAGUCAGUGGUGAAAUCUCCGAGCUUAACUCGGAAACUGCCGUUGAUACUAUUUGUCUUGAAUAUUGUGGAGGUAAGCGGAAUAUGUUAUGUAGCGGUGAAAUGCUUAGAUAUGACAUAGAACACCAAUUGCGAAGGCAGCUUACUACACAACGAUUGACGCUGAGGCACGAAAGCGUGGGGAUCAAACAGG
rnacentral:rRNA from 1 species